ACUGAACGCUGGCGGCAUGCCUUACACAUGCAAGUCGAACGGUAACAGGUCUUCGGAUGCUGACGAGUGGCGAACGGGUGAGUAAUACAUCGGAACGUGCCCGAGAGUGGGGGAUAACGAGGCGAAAGCUUUGCUAAUACCGCAUACGAUCUCAGGAUGAAAGCAGGGGACCGCAAGGCCUUGCGCUCACGGAGCGGCCGAUGGCAGAUUAGGUAGUUGGUGGGAUAAAAGCUUACCAAGCCGACGAUCUGUAGCUGGUCUGAGAGGACGACCAGCAACACUGGGACUGAGGCACGGCCCCGACUCCUACGGGAGGCAGCAGUGGGGAAUUUUGGACAAUGGGCGCAAGCCUGAUCCAGCCAUGCCGCGUGCAGGAUGAAGGCCUUCGGGUUGUAAACUGCUUUUGUACGGAACGAAAAGACUCUGGUUAAUACCUGGGGUCCAUGACGGUACCGUAAGAAUAAGCACCGGCUAACUACGUGCCAGCCGCCGCGGUAAGAC
rnacentral:rRNA from 1 species